rnacentral:rRNA from 1 species
GAUGAACGCUAGCUACAGGCUUAACACAUGCAAGUCGAGGGGUAACGGGAGGAAAGCUUGCUUUCCUUGUCGACGGCCGGCGCACGGGUGAGUAACGCGUAUCCAACCUGCCCCCAACUAGGGAAUAACCUUGCGAAAGUAAGACUAAUACCCUAUAAUUUCCUCAGAUGUCAUCUGACGAGGAAUAAAGAUUUAUCGGUUGUGGAUGGGGAUGCGUCUGAUUAGCUUGUUGGCGGGGUAACGGCCCACCAAGGCAACGAUCAGUAGGGGUUCUGAGAGGAAGGUCCCCCACAUUGGAACUGAGACACGGUCCAAACUCCUACGGGAGGCAGCAGUGAGGAAUAUUGGUCAAUGGGCGGAAGCCUGAACCAGCCAAGUAGCGUGCAGGAUGACGGCCCUAUGGGUUGUAAACUGCUUUUAUACAGGAAUAAAGUUAGCCACGUGUGGUUAUUUGUAGGUACUGUAUGAAUAAGGACCGGCUAAUUCCGUGCCAGCAGCCGCGGUAA